rnacentral:rRNA from 1 species
UACGGGGGGGGCAAGCGUUGUUCGGAAUUACUGGGCGUAAAGGGCGCGUAGGCGGUUUGCUAAGUUGGAUGUGAAAACUCUGGGCUUAACCCAGAGCCUGCAUCCAAAACUGGCAAACUUGAGUACUGGAGGGGAAAGCGGAAUUCCGGGUGUAGUGGUGAAAUGCGUAGAUAUCCGGAGGAACACCAGUGGCGAAGGCGACUUCCUGGCCUGUUCUUGACGCUGAGGCGCGAAAGCUGGGGGAGCAAACGGG